UACGGAGGGUGCAAGCGUUAAUCGGAAUUACUGGGCGUAAAGCGUGCGCAGGCGGUUUGUUAAGUCCGUUGUGAAAGCCCCGAGCUCAACUUGGGAAUUGCAGUGGAUACUGGCAGGCUGGAGUACGGUAGAGGAAGGUGGAAUUCCCGGUGUAGCAGUGAAAUUCGUAGAUAUUCGCAAGAACACCAGUGGCGAAGGCGGCUCACUGGCCCGGGUACUGACGCUGAGGUGCGAAAGCGUGGGGAGCAAACAGG
rnacentral:rRNA from 1 species